rnacentral:lncRNA from 1 species
GUUCUCCCACAUUGUUCUGAUAGUGAGUUUUCCUGAAAUCUGAUGGUUUUAUAAAGGGCUUUUCCUGUCUUCACUCUGCACUUGCUCUCUCGUGCCACAACAUGAAGAAGGUUCCUGCUUCUCCAUCCACUUCCACCAUGAUUGUAAGUUUCCUGAAGUGUCCCCAGCCAAGUGGAACUGUUUUUCCAGAAGCUAUACUUCCCAGCCUUUGAGAUGACCAAUUUGCAGGCUGCAACCCAUUAUGAGAAAUACAGUUCCCCUUUCACAAUUUAUGAACCUCAUGAUUCUGCAGUUGACACAUUUCUUCCAGAAGCUCGACCAUCAAUGGCCUUGAUUUCCAUGAUUGCAAGUCCUGCCAGCUAAAGUUUCAGAAAAGUCUGGGCAAGUCUGGAAGUCCAUUGUAUCCAGUAUAUGUGGCUACGUAAGAAAUUUUCUGGAAUUACACAUUUUCUUGGAAGAACAUUAGGAGCUGGUUCUGAAGAUCAAAUUACAUCAGAAAAAAAGGUGAAACAGGGAAAUUCCAACUGAUUGCCUGGAAAAUUGCUUCAGUCUUCUAGCUCCCUUGAAGGCAACUUUGAAUUGAGCAGAUACACAAAAACAUUCUGUCUUCUGAAAUUUUAAUCUGUGCAAGAUUAUUUUACAACUACACAUAUUGAUAAUAAAGCAAUUUCUCCAAGUGGGACACAUCAGAUAAAAUGGUGUUUGUAUAUUUCUCUCACAUUACUUUUUUCUAUUUAUUGAAAGCCCAUUCUGUCACUAGAAUGAAUCUCUAUCACCCCUGUUAUUCCUUUUCUGCCAAUAUCCUUUAAAAAAAUUCACUGAUGACAUUCAGGGUGAAAUUCAUUUUAGGCUGAAUUUGAAAAAUAAAUAAAGGUGUCCAGGUGCAAAUGCAAGCCUUAAAUUGUACAUUUUUGGCAGGCAUACGUAAUUCAUAUAUAACCUAGCAUCUGUAAAUAUAAAAGUAGUGGACCUCACUCAAGUUUCCCAUAAGGGUAGAUUUGAAUAUAGAUGAAGAUAGGAAUAUAUCUCUUAUUCCAUCCUUACAUUUAUUGUUUGUAAUGGUCACCAAAAAUUAAUCUUUUAGCCUUGCUACAUAUUUUAUUAUUUGCCAGAGCAAAAGCUGAUCAAUUUUAAUCUGAUUUAAAAUGUAAUCCAAAAACCUAAUGUUUUUUAACAGAACAAUAAAAAUAUUUUUCAAUGACUUUGUGCAUUAGUGAAUGUAUCCCUGAAAAGCAUGUGUAACCUUGAAUUAAUAAGUUAUGU